ensembl:lncRNA
AUCUAGUAAACAGGAUUCUGUGCAGCAGACAGCAUUUCAAAACAACACUUCUUUCAUUAGUUUACCUCAGUUGCACAAUAUUGUGUAAAGAUUGAUGAAAUUAAAUGUUGUCAAUGCAAAGUUGGAUGGUGUACAAGUCACCCAAAGUUUGGAUUUACACAAUGCAUCUUAAAUGUGCCGCUCUGACUGUUUUACAUCUCAGCGUAGCAGUUUGUAGUCCUACACACAAUUAAUUGGCAUAAACUUCAACGUAUAAGUAAAAUGAACAAAGUCCAUGUCUCAGAACUGUGUUAUUUUAAAUCAUUAAUCAAGGCUUCGUUCAGUAAUAUUAAACAGAGUAUUAAAAUGAUCAGUGGACUUGGUCCAUAUAUACCAGCAAUGACAAACCUGGAUACAAUGUGGUUUCUCUAACUUACACGAGAGAGAAACUGUCCUGUGAAAUGUGAUUUGUUUAUUCAACUUGUGAUUCUAAUAAUGCGAAUAAAAUAGAAACUUUUUUUCCUUCUCAUGUCUCCAUGCCUUUGUUGAGCUGUGAUGGUUUGGGUUGCAUAAGCCAGGACAUUAAUAUCAAUUUCCUUUUUACUUUGUAUGAUUAAACGGAGUGGACAAAAUACCAGAAACCCCUGAUGGGGUCCAAUUGAGGUCUAUGAGGGGGGUCGGUAAAUGGCUGAAACAAGCUCUUUGGAGGCAAUAGACAGUAAAUAGACCUUUAUCAAUUAUAGAGCAUUUACUAGGUUAAACCUGCUAAGAAAAAACAUCCAGUCCGUCAUCUGUCAAAAGGCCAAAGAAAGGGAUCGGCCGUUUGAUCCCCGACUUCCCUCGUGUCCGUGUGUCCUUGGGCAAGUCGCUCAACCCCAGAUUCCUCCCGCCGCUGUGGCUCGUGUGUGUGAAUGUCACUUACUGAUGGGCAGGUGGCACUGUGUGUGUGUGUGUGUGUGUGUGUGUGUGUGUGUGUGUGUGUGUUGUAGCUCCUGUCAGUGUGUGGAUGGCGGAACAAUGACAUGUAUUGUUAAAGUUCUUGUAGUGGUUGGAAAACGAGUGCAGUCCAUUUACUAUUUACCAUCAUAACCUACGAGUUAGCGAACGGGACUUGAGUCGUUUGAAAAAAACUGAAGUAAACAACACAUUUCUUUUCAAAAGAUGAUUUUAGUAGUUCUUAUCACGCCGUCACGCUGACUGAUCCCUCUGGUGACAAUCAAAAUUGAUUAAAAAAAAAAAGGAAAUAUGUGAAUCGUAAGACAGUUUUGUCCUUUUUUGAGAUAAUCAUUAUUGAUGUGGUUUUGGCCCAAACUUCAACCAGCAGUUAACCCAAGAACUGAUCCACCUGUUUUUUUAAAAAAAAUGAGCGGAUGCAUCCUGUGAAGAUGCAGAGAUUUCCUUUCCCAAUACUGUGAGAGAAAAAGCAUCACUGGAUUGGCACAAAUUGAGGGGGAUUUAAAGGCGGAUUUGGAGAGGGAUGCAGGCCAACAUCUCACAGACAGCUCUCGCCUAAGAUCUAACCUGGUAUUAUGAUCCAAGACGCAGCAGGCUUUGUUUACUUUCUGAAUCCGCUCUUCAGUGGGAAGCAGCUUUGGAUGAGGCUCCCUGUAUUAAGGGGGGGAUGCUUGGUUGCAUAAGUAACCGGCGGGCUCAACAGUGAGGAUACGAGUCCUUGAAGUUCAGACUAGUUUACUCAGAAAGUUUGAUGUUUGGGCGCGCAGAGGAGGAACACAAACAGCUGGUGUCUGCGAAUAAGCGCAGAUAUUCUUCUACGUUGACAAGCAGCAUGUAGAGUUUUAUGUUAUGGCUGCUGUUGGUGAGGCUGUAGUCUGUCUAUCCAAAGUAGCCUCAAUAAACCAGCAUGUAAUGCAGCCGCUACAUAUCUAAGGAUGUGCGAUAUUAUACGAUAAUAAAAUGAAAAGACGCAUAUUUAUAUUUCAGGAGCUAUGAAGGUUGUUUCGAUGGCCGUCCUGAGCGUGUUGUGGGGCCACUUAAAGUGUGUAGUUAGUGCGCAGUCCUUGAAACGUUGCCUUCACUUCACACUACGGUUUCCAUUUCAUAGUUGUUUCGAGCUGAAGUCCUUAAUGAUCCCGUAAUGAAUAUAUUUGUGUUAUUAACUGUUUUACACUGUUUUUUAUACUUCAAGGAUGUCACCUUGGACUGUUGGAACAUGUGAUGGAUGUUUCCUACUAACUGAAAAGACAACCAAAACAAUAUGGAAUAAAUGUACUUUAUCUAUGAGCCCUCAACCCAUUCAUCUGACAGUUAGUAAUACACACAAAUGUAAAGUAAAGAUACCUUUGGUUCAGCUAGAAAUGAAGAAAAAAAAGUAGUAAAGAAGCAGAAAACAGAGAAGUGUCCACAACUUAAUAAAGUACACAGUGCUGAUAUUAAACAUAUCAGGGGGAAUUGUUAGCAAAAAGCAUAACGUAUUAGUUUACACAUACAUGUCCUGACAAAAACGGAGGUAUGUUGCCACAGUGUCAGUUAGCUCUUCCAGGUCUGUAGCAGCAGCCUAAAAAACGGUGUGUUGUUUAAUAUUCAGUAGUCAUCUGUGUUCUUAUUUCUUUCAUUUAUUCAUGUAUGAAUAAUCCAAGAAACAGUAGAGAUGGGGAAUCUGUAGAUAUGAGAAAUAGCGAAAGACACUGCCCGGAGCAUUCAUUAAAUACAUGUUUUACCUCAAAUGGAUGGUGUGCGCUGUCAUAGUGGACCCCUCCAAAACUGCAGUAACAUCACAGCGAGCCGCGGUACAUAUUUCUUAACCUUGAUUUAGUGUUGUGCUGUUGGCCUGGUAGUUUGUGGUAUUCUGGCAUUUUCCACACUUCACAACUCUUCCAUUCCCGCCUUCAACCCCCCCCCACCCGCCUUAGUCAGCAUUGGGAGAAGACAUCUGCUCCACCAGAGUCAUCAUAACCCAGCUGGACACGGGGGGCUCGCUGAAGGCCGCUGACCUGCUGCAAUCGGGACCGGUGAAGAGGCCCGAGAGGCCUUCCCGCUGCGCCGACCAGAUGCCUCGGCACGCUGGCGUUUCUCCAGCUCGGCACAUGCCUCACCCUGGAGGAAGCUGGCAGGCUCUCUCUAUCCGGUGACGUCUUAAUGAUCUAAGACAGUGAGACAAAACUGUUUCUGCUUUUUAAGACAUUGAGUAUUUUCCAAAUGUGUGGUGUUCUUAAAAUAUGGAGAGUCAUUUAAGUAAGGCUUGAAGAAAUUUGGCACACGAACAAAUAUAGAAAUACAUCUUGGUUAUUAUUUAAGCACUCCUUUGCGUGAUUUGUGAGACUCUUUGUCUCUUUGUCUGAGUCUGAGUUCAGAAACAGGAAUCUUUUUAUUAAAUGGUGGUAUGAGGCUCUGAAUUUGUAAGUGUAGGAUUCUUUAUUUAAAGCUGAAAAUCUUUUGAUUGUUUUUUUUCUUUUGAACAUGACAAAACAAUCAGGAGCACGAGCCAUAUUAUUCACAUGAAAAGGAACAAUCUCAGAUACUCUUCUCUUCCUACCAAUACUGACUUCUGCUAGUUAGCUUUGCGUUGGACAAAAAGUCACGCUGGCCCACUGACCAAUCACAGCGCAUGUUAAUGGUGGCGUAUUUCCAGGUUACCUAGAAUGCCCCGGCACGUCAAAGAAUACCUAAUGAUCUGAUUGGUUGAAGACUAUGACACUCAAUGAUAACGUCCCCAUGUACUUUCAACUGCAAGGCCAGCUAGAAGGCCUCGGCCCUCUCUUCUCACGUAGAGACCAUAGAGGUGAAAUCUGAUUGGAUAAAAGCUCUGUCCACUGAUCAGCCCUCUCCAAACCUGCAGGGGCAACUGGAAAACAUACUGGAAAGGGAAUGUUUAAUGCUCAUGCACAACCUCUGGGGUUUAACAAAUAAAGAAAAAUAAUAGGAUGACACAUGCAUAUGCCCUUUGUUGAAUUUCUUCCCAGCAAGUCAAUAUAUUGAUAAUACCUUUAGAGCUCCAUAAUUAACACAUACUACACACUGCUGCAGACUUACGUACUACACACUGCUGCAGACUUACGUACUACAUACUAACAUACUGCAUACUACUGCAGACUUGCAUACUACAUACUUCUGCAGACUAACGUACUUCAGAAUGAUGUACUCUAUGCCAUCAGUGCGUACUGCUUCCUGCCUGAAUGAAGAAUUGAGAAUAGUAUUACCAGCAGAAUCAAGGCAGCCUGCCGAUGUAUUUCUUGGAUGGACUGACCUUGUAUUCAGAAUCUGGUGACUUUAUUGAAAGAAAACAAAUUAAAACUUGAGAGUAAGCAAACAUGGCACACUUAGAAAUUGACUUUAAAUGGUGGUAUUUUGAACUGAAUGUUUAUUGUGAAUCACAUCAUGUGAAGUGCAUGAAAUGAAUCCCUGAAUAAAAAAAUGAAUAAAAAUGAGAAGAAUUAGUGCUUCUCAGAGGACGUCGUAAAAAAAAAUACUACAUGUAGUGUUGGGUGUUUAUGCUCUGACUGAUUCACCUAUGAGAAGGAUGAUGAAUGACUCUCUUACUUUCCUCGUCGCUUACGCUUUUUCCCCUGGGCUUUAGUCGGUUCUCAUGUUGGCAGACAGACACAAUUUGAGGCUCUUGGGCUUUGCUCAGUGAGGUUAAAAUCAAACAUAAGCUUGUUUUUACCUCCAGAAAGGCUGCUCCAAUAAGGCCGAUCUGCUCUUCUGGGUUUGGUUUCUGGGAAUCAAGUACCUCCUUCUCAAUUUAGAGUUUGCUCUACUGUGAAAGGAGGAAACUGUGUGUGUGUGUGUGGCUGUUUGAGAGUUAACAAGCAAAAAGAAAGCGAGAGAUGAAGACAGACUGACAGGCAGUCCAGCGCAUAGGCAGACAGAGACAGACAGGGAGGGACAGCCUCUGGUCGCCUGCGUCUUUCUACCUCAACCUUGUCUGAACUCCUGGUUCACAAUGAGUUUCCCUGUGACAUCUGUGUUUCCCUUUUCAUUUCAUUUCAUUUUUCAUUUUUCCAUUUGUACUCUAACCUGUAGUAAUGAAAUAAAAGUAAUGAUUAUCCAAUUUUAUGUAAAUUACAUACCAAACGUAAACGGCAAAUAAGGUCAAACAGGCUGUUUAACACCAUCAUUUGAAAAAUAGAAGGUUUUGACACAGCCUCCUGAUGUUAGCUGAUGUCAGCAUUCAGCCUCACAGUGCUGCCAACAUUUAAAUUGAUUGUCCAUCACUGUUUCAUUUUGUAAGUACAUUAACAAUUUGUUUGUUUGUUUGAAAUGUCGUUCAAUUUUUGCCAAAACUUUAUUGGGAAGUAAUAGUAGUAGUCAUUUAAAAAAAGUGAUGGAUCCUGUAUUUUGAAACUUUUAAAUGGUACAAAAGAAAUCAACGCCAUUGCAUAAGUAACAUUGUCAUACUACAACAUCACAGUUUCAGUGUGCGAUGCUCUAAACGGACUUUACCAAUGGUGUCUCCACCAAUCAGCUCAAGGGUGACACAUAUUAAUUAUACUUGGGAAUUGCUAAUACGGCACGGCUGCAAUAAAGCAAAUAUGCCAUUGUAAAUUGUGUGAAACCCUAUUAGGUAUGCACAGAGCCCAGUCUGAACUUACAUGACAAAUGCUUACCCUUUUCUCCCAAUUACUCCAAAGUCUAUGCUCAUUGUUCUCUUUGACAAUAAUGGCCCAGAUCUAAAUCUCCUUGACCCAUUUCAUUUCAAGUUCCACCGCUGUGUGCUCUGAAGGCUGAAAACCAGCCCAGCACAACUCUGCUCUUUCCCGCAAACCCGGUGCCUCUGCGGCAUCAUCUCCGUGCCGAGGAGUCCCAGUAAUGAAUGUGUGCCGCCAGGGGAGGACAGUGUUGCUCCAUGUGGAAUCUACAACCGGGCUUGAUAAGAAAUAACACAGUCUAUGCGAGGGCGAACGGCUCGCACUGUGCUGUUUGAAUUUUUCAAACAUUUUUCGGCCCAACCCGGUGGAACUUUUUGUUCUAGACAAGCAAGGACACAAACAAUCAUACAAUCAAUGAGAGAGCUGAUGGACAAGAGAAUCCUGGUGAAGUACCUUUGGAUCCAGCCCGAGCAAUGGUUCAUCCUUCAUCGGUGAUGUGGCGGAUGGCGCAGCCCCCUCGUCUCAACCACUUCUGAAGGCUGAGAGGUUUCAAAACCUUUCCCCGACACCUUUAGUUAAGUUGCCCUUGAGCAAGGCUCUUAAUCACGGGUGACUGGAGUGACUACUUCUGUGGCCGCUUUGAAGGGGUUCUUUACAGGUUGCCGAAACAAGUAGCAAAGGAUAAAGAAAUAUUUAGUGCAUAAAAGUUCUCAUACUCAUUACUUUUUCUGUUUUUGUUGAUUAAAUUGAUUGAUUGACAGAGGAUUAAAACGGUCAAGGAGGUUGAGGAGGAGCAAAUAAGGUCGGUGGCAACUGGUUGUCAAUAGAGGACCAAGAGGACAGUGACAAGGACCAUUUUACAUCCACCACUUCACCUCCUUCACCCACCCAAAAUAUUCCACUCAUAACCCCCCCAUUCUUUCAUCCUUCCCUCCUCACAGCUCUGCUCAAUGUCCUGAUCCUGGUUGUUUUUGCUACUCAAAGCUGAUAAUGAAACCCCUCAGUCAGCGUGGUUACAUGGAUUCGAAUAACUGGCUUAGUCGGACUGAAAUCGAAUUAUCCGUUUCAUGUAAACACCUUUGUCCGACUAUGUGCGGUCCAACUACGAUCCGACUAACCCCCCUGGAUAACUCGGUCCGAUCCAGUUGAUAGUUUGACUAUUGCGGCAUGUAACGGUGAAUCGGAUAAGGAACUGGACUUUGCGUCUUUGCGCAUGCUUGAGAUCAUGACGGCGUCUUCUCUCCGUUAUCAAAUCAGCCAAUAGCGCCAUUCGCAUUCGCUGUGCUCCUAUUAACAUCAUGCACACAUAGUAGAGGGAUGUAGCUUCACCUUGCUCUCCGUUCGCCAUCUUUCUCGUAAUGUUGAUGUUGUUGUUGUUGGUUGUUGUUGAUAGUGGUGAAGCGGUCAAGCGAAAAUGGCUGUAUCACAACUAGUUGUAAUGAAAACAGCGCCACCUAUCGUAUCGGAUAUGACAUGUUUUCGGCCAAUGAUUCGAUUUAUUCACUGCCAUGUAUAUUGGGAUAAUAUCACCUCCCCCCGAAAGACAGCAUAGUGCGACUAAGCAAAGAUUCAAAUUAUACCAUCAUGUAAACACACUGACUGGUUUUCAGUGGGGAGGCCCUCGGCCCUCACCUUGUGGCUGUUAUCACCAACGUGUGAGCCACACCACUUUAAUACAAUAAAUUAGCUGGUGCCUAAAUGUUCUUACACCUCAGAAGCGAUGGUGUCUCAUCUCGGCCGCCGAAAAGGCCGGUGGUGGGCCGCACUCACGUAUGAGGGCCUAACAAAUCCAAGAUGACAAUCUAAUAGCUCAAUGUAGUGGUUUUAUCCGUUGGAAAAAAUUGCUUGAAAGCGCUGUGAAAUUGUACAUUCAUAUGUCACAGUCUGUCUCCUGUCCUCAAUACACAGGUAUUUUUUUUCUUAGCUCUCUUUUUGGUUUCUUCUAUAAUAUUCUGAUAAUGUCAAGCAUGUUCAUGAUAGCUAUAAGAAAUUUACUCCGCCCAUUUCAAUACAGUUACAUAAAGUCACAUUUGAAAAUCUACAAUUAAAUAAAAUCACAAGAAUACUGCAAACACAUGACAUGGAUUAGAUCAAAGCACUGAAGGGUAAAAUAAGCCAAAAAGUAAAAUAUAACAGAUUACUCACUAGAACCAUAAAUAUAUGCGUAACUAAGAAGUUUAUUUGGCAUUUCAGAGGAUGACAUGAAUGCAGACAGCCAUAGCCUGACUCGAGCCCCGAGGUUCUGAGCCUGAUUUGCUCAUUAAUUUAGGGUUUAAAAAAAGAUUAGUGAUUUAAAGUGAUUUAGAAUAUGUUACUGAUUAGAGAGUCUUUUAUUAGUCCCACUCCGAGGUAAUUGGUCGCAUUACGGCAACAAAAGGGACAGGGCAACAACAUUAGACAUUAGUAAAAAAAUAAGACAUAAUGAAUAAGUAAACAGUCACAAACUAAACAUAGCAGUAGCCUGACUGAAUGAUUGAGUUCACAUUAAUGCACAUAUGAAAUAUUGAUAUUGCACAUCUGCACAUCACCUCCACUGGAUCAAGGGGGCAUAUGAGGUGCAUUUGUGUUCCCAAACCAGUCCAGUGUAUUGCUCAGGUGAACACCGGGGCAUUUGUAUGAGUUCACCAUUUAAAUGUGCAUUCCAUACAUUUUUACUGGUAUAGGAGGAGUGUUUGCACGUACCAACCAGAGUUUUGAGGUGAAUCCGAUGGCCCCAGUCCGCAAAACCGUAGCUCCUCACUGUGAGGAUCAUGAUGAUUGCUGAGUCCUUAGAGAACCUUCACAAGUGGCAGUACAUAAAGUCUGUAGUGUAAAUGGUGAAUAGAAAGUAAGCAACAUGUGUUACCUUUGGGGCCCACAGGCUGCGAUGCUUGGACCGACAUAACCACAUCCUGACAUACCGUGGUCGGUAUGGCGAGGUAGACCAAGAUCCACUCCUGUGCCCUACAACUCAGAGAAAUAAUGGAUUCUCAGAUUCUCACAGUGCUCCUGGCUUUUUCCAGGUGGGAGAGGGAUCUAUGUAGGCAGUAGAUGACAGGGUCAUUCACCCCAAAGCCAGGUUGAUUCUCUACUCAAAACUAUUUUUCUUUACUUUAUCUCCUCCAGGUAUUUCUCUGUAAUGUUCCUGAAAUCACCAUCAGAUGUUUCAUAUACUUUAUGCUUCCAUUCUUCUUGGAUGUGUUUGUUUUCAACAAAUCACCUUCCCGAGAGCCACAUCGCUGUUAGCAUUACUAAAUCCCCUCAUAACGUUGCUUGCUUUAUGUCUUAAGAUGAAACGCAGCUUUCAAGCUGGAAGUCAUCCUGUCAACUCAUCACACAGAUUCAGGCUUUCCUAAGUGGCAAGAGCAGAUGCUGUUGGUUAGCUGACGAGAGCUGAAAAUGAUGCUAAACCAGCAUUGGGUUGAUUGCAUGGGACCCGAUUCCCAAACUCAAAGCUAUAUUGGUUGCUUACUGUGAUGUUUAGUGUUGUUCACAGAUGUAAACUAAACUUGUAAGUAUUUGAUUAAGAAUUACCCCCAAGUGUUCUUUCAUGGUUUUUCUGCGUGAGCUCCAAUAGCUUCACAGCAUUUUUGCCUCGCACAAGGCAGAAUUAUCUCUUUGGAAGUAUGCUGUGCAGGGGAAAAAUAAAUCCUCAUAUUGCUGUAAGGUGUCUUGAACAAGGGUAGAUUAUAAGAUUUUAUUUUUUAAGUCGAAGGCAAAUUAGGUAUUCGAGAUACCUGGGGCAGCUAAUAUCUGAAAAAAAGUUAAAAUGUCCUACAGAAGAGAGAUAUUGCAAAAGUGUGAUAUCAAACCAGAGCCUGUUGGUGCUGCAGCGCGGCAGCGAUAUGGUAUCUGUUCAGCCACUCAAAAUGUCUACAUUUUGCAACAAUAUUACAAGGAUCGUUUAGAGGCAGAGGCCCUGUGCUCUUAUCAAAAUACCAUUGCUGAUGCUUGAGAAGAUCGAGCACAACACACGUUGUGAGCUGUCUCCCCUCAUUCAAAGAUGACUUAUUUUUGCUGUGGCGGCCUUUAAACAUCACACAUCAUAAUUGGACCACGCAGUUAUUUAAUUUGAGAAGCCACAGAAUGUGAGGUGAGGGGUUGAGGGUGGGGAUGAUUAACAGCUUUAUCUACCCAACAUUAUUAUUGGCGUCAUAAUGUGUCUUCAAAAGAUGUGUGCUAGAAAUAUGUUCAGUCCGUGUAAAGGGUGGCUUCCUAUUUCUUGCCUACCCCCCAAAUCUCACUCGCUGAUGUCAUUUGGAACUUAGUGUGAUUGAUUGCAUGUCAAAAGAAGCAUAACCAAUUUGUUUCUGAAGGAUGUAUGGGAAUUUAAAAUUCGGUACUGAUUAUAAUUCAAAGCAUAUAUGUGCCUUUGCUUUGUUCGGUUGAGCAUCAACUACCGAGGUGUAGGCAGUUCUGCAAGCAAACGCCAAAUGACAAAGUUAUGUUGAGUUUAGAAUGAAGCACUGGUCCUGUCUCUUAAAUUAGCAGGCUGUCAUUUUGGUAUGUCUAUGAACUCAUUAUGAGCGUUACUCAAGACAUCCUCACACUCACAGGCAGACACACACCAACAUGCUACAACACAAUACUUGGAGUUAGCCAGUAUCAACUCAACGUACCUGCACACAAGGUCAUUCAUACAGGCUAUGGAAAAUAGCACCAAUAACUGUGUACUCUGUAUUCAUUUGUACAAGUUUAACGAGAAAUAAACUACGUUAUCAUGUUUGAUAAUAAAAUAUAUAUGUUUGACAUAAAAUAUAUUACCAUAUUAUCUGUUUAAUUGCAUUUUCUGACUUCAGAAAUGCAAAUAGGCAACACAAUUCAACAGAACCAUUCGUUAAACGCGUAAAUACCGAUAUAUACUUUUUAAUAUUUAAAAAAAUACAAUUUUUAUCUCUACAAAAUGUUAACUAUAUAUUUAUUCAAAAUAAAACCAGACCUACUUAUCUUCUUUUAACUUACUGUUAAAAAAUGAUACAAAGAGCUAUUUCCCCGCGACUGAUUGGCCGAUUAGUGUAAUUGACAACUCAUUGGAAUUGUUACAGCCUAUAGAAUUGAGCUGAGGAUGAGCGUGCUGACGAAACACGACACUGGUGAUUCGACUGCCACACAGUAAGUGACGUGUCAUAUUAUGUUGUAUUUUUGAAGCCAAAACAAAAACUUUUUAUGGGUACAUGACAUUUUAAAAAUAUUUUUGGGCUUUUCAGAUUCCUGUUGAUGUUCUUCGGCUGAUGAGUUGCUCAGGGCUUUCCUGUAUACCUCUGGAAUCGGUGGAUUGUCUGUUACAGUAUGUUUAGCGCGAGGUGGUGGCGCGUUUUUGCUAAACAUUUUUGAAUGGGUUUCCUAAAUAUCUGAUGUAUUGUGAAGUGAUUGAGUGACUGAAGGGAGUGAGUAGGGCUGCACGGUAUGGCCAAAAGUCCCAUCACGGUAUUAAGAAAGAUUCUGACGGUAUCCCGGUAUGUGACGGUAUUGCUUUUUCAAGUAAACAUUAAUUAAUUGACCCCGAAAAGGACCGCGGCUACCUGAACAGCUGUUUGCCGUGUAAGUGGCGAGUUAGCUUGUUAGCGAGUUAGCUUGCUGUGGCUGCAAACAGCUGUUCAACUGUACCAAACAGCUGCCCGCCUCUAGCUGACCAACUUGCUCACAAGUGGCCGGCGAGGUAGAUUGUUAGCGUGUUAGUUUGUUAGCUAGUUUGCGUGUUAGCUUGUUGUGGCUGCCAUCAGAGGCUCGACAAACGUUUUCUGAUCUAACGAAUCUUGCGUCGGAUUUUCCAGAACCAAAAACCCUCCAAACAGACACAGCUCCUCUCUUGGGCAACUAGUUGUGUUCUCUGGUCUCUCGUUGUUCCUCCUGUUUUUCCGUGUUUUCAUGUAGCAAGUUACUUCUUGUUGUGAGCUGUACCCAGCAUGCCGUUCGGCAGGGAAAUUUUAGAAAUAUACAAUUAUUAUUGUUACAAAUUGUUUAUGUGUCACAAGCUGUUGUGUCGUGGUGUUUUACCGUGUUAAAGAGUGUUUGUUGUGGGUUAUUAUUUAUUUAUUAGUUAUUUCAGAACUCCUCCGAGGCCUCAGAGUCAGAGUCCGCCACCAGGUGGGUGGAGGGGUUCCGGUGGUCGGGUUCCUCGGUUCUAGGGAAAGGACCCUCAUUGUCCGCACCAGGAACCUGCAGGGUAUUCCUGGCAUUCAUCUUGGUCCUCGAUGGUUGUCCUGGGUGCUGCUGAUGAAACCUUGCGAUUAGUCUGGAGUCGCAGAUGUUCCGAGUUGAAACCCAUUGCCUCUCCUCAGGCCCAUACCCUUCCCAGUCGACCAGGUACUGAAACCCUUGCCCCCGGCGGCGGGAGCGCAGCAGGUGAUGAACUGUGACUGGGCAUCCUUCAAAGAAAUGAGGAGGAGGAGGAGGCGCAGCAGCCGGCACCGAAGGACUCUCAUGUACCAGUUUUACCCUGAUUGACCCGUGGAAUGUGGGAUGGAUGCACAUGGUUCCUAGAAGCUUGAGUCUGCUGCUGGGUUGAUGAUCCUCUCAUUUGCAAAAAGGCCAAUAAACCUUUCCCCCACCUUCUUCUCCAUCCGCAAGGGUAGAUUCCGGGUUCCGCAGCCACACCCUCUGUUCCACCUGGUAGAUGGGGGCUGGUGCGCGGUGUCUGUUAGCCGCUGUUGAGAAGCAUGCCACAGACUGGAGAAGGGUAGCUUGGUCCUUAGCCCAGAUCUGGCAGCAGCGGCAGACAAAUGUCCUUCUUCAAUGCGGUGAACAGAGGUGGCUGGAAUCCAUAGACACACUGAAAUGGUGACAUGCCUGUGGCGGAACUUAGGGUAUUAAGCGUGUAUUCCACCCACCUCAACUGGCCGGGCCCGGCGGCAGUGUUCAAGGAAACCAUGCAGCGGAGAGUUGUUCUUCUGAUUCUUCCUCUCCGUCUGACCGUUGGAUUGGGAGUGAAAACCAGAGGACAGGCUGACAAUGGCCCCAAGCAGAGCGCAGAUUCUUCCAGAGAUGAGUGAUUUGGGUCCACGGUCAGAGACGACAUCAACUGGAAUCCUGUGCAGGCGGAAAACAUGCUUGACUUAGCUGAAGGGAGAUUGGAUAAUGGAAUGAAGUUAGCCAUCUUGCUGAUCGGUCGACCACUGUCAGUAUGGCAGUGUGGCCCUCAGAUGGGGAUAGUCCGGAGUCCAGAGGGAUGUGGGACCAUGAGGGAUGAUGAGGCACCAGGAGAGGCUGCAGGAGACCAGCCAGAGCCUGGAUGUUUGUUUGCACACUGGGCAGGCAUUGACAAAUUCCCUGGUGUCUUUGUUCAAUGAGAGCCACCAGAAGCGCUGCUGCAGCACGUUGUGGGUCCUCUGUACUCUCGGGUGGUAGGUCAGCCUGGAGGAAUAUGCCCACUGGAGGACGUCGGACCGAACAUUUCGAGGAAUGAACAGGCGGUUAGGAGGGCAUGCGCUGGGACCGACUUUCACUAACUCCUCAAUCUCCUAUGUAAGGGCGGCUACUCGGCAGGAGGCAGGAGGUAUGGCUCAGGAGCCAGAGGUAAGUUCCUCCUAUUCCCGGAACUGACAGAAAAGGUAUAAGGCUUGCCAGUGGGGGACCCGGGACGAUAGCAGAGUGUAAAGUGGAACCGGGUGAAGAAUAACGACCACCUUGGCCGCACGGACAUACUCCGUCCACACCAGAUGUGGGAGCUUAGUCACCUCCAACCAAUGUCGCCACUCCUCCAGUGCCACCUUAACUGCCAGCAGUCCUCAAUUACCAAUGUCAUAAUUUUUCUUGGCGGGGGAAAGCCGACAUGAGAAAAAGGCACAGGGAUGAAGCUUUUGGUCAGUGGCCAAGCGCUGGGACAGGACACCUCCAACCCCUAGAUCGGAGGCAUCAACCUCCACCACAAAUUGUCUGUCUGGAUCCGGUACUCGGAGGAUGGGUGCAGAGGUGAAUCUGGAUUUCAGGGUCUGGAAGGCUCCUUUGGCUGCUGAGGUCCACAGGAAAAGGGUCUUGGAGGAGGUGAGGGUGGUGAUGAACCUCCCGAUAGAAGUUGGCAAAGCCCAAGGAGAAUGAUAGUUAUUUUGGUUCUAUUCAUUUUGGAAGGGACUGAUACUAAACUAUAUUUAAAAAGACAGUGUGAAAAAGGCAAAUACAUGUCAAUUUGACAGGGCGUGGUUGUCCUCAGCUGUGAGUGGUUCAGAGAACGGUGCUGAGAAGAGGCUUAAUCGGCCUCAGCUGAAAUAGAUAUCCUGAUUGUUUUUCCCUCUUGGAUAAAAUGCCGGUAAGCGCACAGGAGAGUAAAGAGGAGACACAGUUGGGCAGAGCGGACAAUAAAACAAACGGCUUGUGACUAAUAUAAUAAAAACAUUGAGAAACCACAAACUGUGUUUUCUUGCCUCCUUAUACUCAAGGAACCUUUAACGGUGACAGGAUCCUGUUACAGAGACUUAGUCAUUCUUUUCUCUGUUCAGAAAAAUGUAUAUAUUUGAUAUAGAUACAUAUAUAUAUAUAUAUAUAUAUAUAUAUAUAU